CUAUUGUAUUUAUUACAAAAAACGUAGAGAAAUACUAAAAUAGUUUUUUGCAAACAACUGACUCACAUGUUACGAGACAAUUUUCUUUCGUUCUGCUUUCUCAUUCGCUGAACCUCUCGAACCACGAAACAUGAUAAUUUAAUUUAAUCACUUGCAAUCAAGUCAAUAAGUUCUCCUACAUCGAAAUACGGUACUUAAGGUUAUCGGAGCUUAGUCCUCCCAAACUCAAUAAUUAUCGGCACUAAGAGGGCUGUCAUUAAGAUAAUAUGCCUUAAUUAAUAUUAAACUCUAGAUAUUUUUAGAUGACUACUCGUACGAUUCUACGUUUGACGUUAUAGCCUGAAAAAUAAAAUGUACAGUACUGGCUUGACAAUAUGACAGUAUUAACAAGAUAGUCAAUUUUCUUCAUGUAACCGACAUGUAUUCUCCUGUUAGUAGAAUAAGUUUUUCUCGUAGUCGGGAAAGCAUAUUUGCGAACUGCUGUAUCAUCUGGACACACUCGAAGCCGCAUUAUGCAGAUGUUUUUUGAGAUUUUCAGGUCUGUGACCGAUCGGAGUGAAUCAGCCCGUGUGUUCGUAUUUUUCGUCAUAUAUUUCAUAAAUAUCUGGAUCAUGGAGUUGAGCUACCUGUUCGAAUGCGACAUACUAGAGUGCGUCAUCACGGAUUUAUCGGAGAACAUUUUAUUUCUGAUACUGACCGGAAAGAUAGUGAUAAUGAGACGAGGCUGCGAUAUACUGAGCAAAUUUCUGAAAAUCAUCGAAAUCGUGAUUUCACGACCGAGGCCUACCACAACGUACAAGAGAAGACCGUGUACUUACGGUACAACAAGAUCGGCUUGAAAUUCAUCAAGAUUUCGAUGGGUAUUACAAUAGUGGCGGCUACAAUAUAUUACUUGCAAACAUUCUUGGAAAAUUGGAGUUCAAGUGAAAUAUUACGUUCGAAGAAAUAAAAUUUUAUUUACUCGUGUUAAAUCAGCACCAGAGUUCUUUUGAUAAAACUCCAACAGUUGAUCUGUCAUGUUUACUCAUUCAUUUUUUUGACAAUUAGCAAUGUUUAAAAACAUUAUUCAAUAUUUAAGUAAAAAGUGAAAUUUGUUUACUUUCGUAAAUACAUGGUUCCAGAGAUCUAAUGAUAAAAACGAGCUUUCUAAGAAAAGGAGAAAUGCGUAUCGUUAUCUUUCUUAGAAAACGAAUAUAUGAAAUGUUUUUUCAAAAUUACUGUAAAUUAUGGUGCACUAAAUUACUCACACUGUUUCGUUUCGUAUCUUUUUAAUCAACUUGUGCACAUAUUAUUGAGAAAUAAUUCGGCAAUCGCUAGUACGACCCGCGUGUACGUUGCCGCUUAUUGCUCAGAAACGACGAGCCGCGAGUGUUAGAAGGGAAACAGAAUGAAACACGAGAUUUGUUCGCGCGCGGAAAUUAUUAUACAAAAACAAAGAAUACAAUAAACUUGCGACACAUGUAUUUGUGACUAAAUAGUAACAGUCGAGCGAGAACACUCAUCAGUGAUUACUUUUCCGAACGUAUCACUACUUUGUUUUUUGUAUAAAGUGAAAUAUCUCUGAAGUACAUUUAAUGCUGCGUACAGACUGUGAGACAAUUGUAGUCAAAAAAAUCCACAAGUUUAAAAUCAGUGAGGAAAAAUAAGAGUCAUACUUACACAAAGAUCAACGUGUAUGCAACUGCGGUCUAAGUCUGUUUACUCGCACUACUGCGCGCUACUGCACUACUGUAAGAAAUUCACUUUUUCACUGGCGAAUUACUGACAAUCAAUUAUUAAGCGGCAGAGAACGCUUUAAUGAGAUGUUUCAAGUACGGAUCUUAAGAGGAUGCUGAACCAGCGGAUUAACAGCUGCU